GGGGAAUAUUGGACAAUGGGUGAAAGCCUGAUCCAGCCAUGCCGCGGGUGUGAAGAAAGUCUUCCGAUUGUAAAGCAACUUAAGUUUGGGGGGAAGGGGUGAAGUUAAUACCUUGGAGUUGUGACUGUUCCAAACGCAUAAACAACGGCUACACUUGGUCCAGCAGCCGCGGUAAUACGAAGGGUGCAAGCGUUAAUCGGAAUUACUGGGCGUAAAGCGCGCGUAGGUGGUUUGGUAAGAUGGAUGUGAAAUCCCCGGGCUCAACCUGGGAACUGCAUCCAUAACUGCCUGACUAGAGUACGGUAGAGGGUGGUGGAAUUUCCUGUGUAGCGGUGAAAUGCGUAGAUAUAGGAAGGAACACCAGUGGCGAAGGCGACCACCUGGACUGAUACUGAGACUGAGGUGCGAAAGCGUGGGGAGCAAACA
rnacentral:rRNA from 1 species